GAGAAGGCCCAGAAACCGCCGGGGAGGACCCCAGGGCCGGGCACGCAGCCAGGCUCCCAGCGCCGCCCGAUCUGCGGGCGUCUGACCGGAGCGAAGGCGGCGGCCGCGCCGAGGCCCCGCAGUUCCGUGCCGAGGCUUCCUCCUCCCUUGAAGGCACCCACGAGGGUCUCCAGGCCCCAGAGCGCGUACUGGGGCCCGGCCUGGAUGCGGCGCUGCAGAGGCGGGCCCAGCAGCUCAGGAGCAGGCAGAAGCCCUGGCCGCUCUUCCUGGGGCUUCUCGCCUCGGCGUCGGAGGUCACGGCCGCUGCUCCAGGGGCCCGUCAUGACCCCUAUUUUCAGAAGGUUAAAACUGACUCUGACAGUUACUGAGUGGUUGCAAAGUGGAAGGGCCUCCUGUCUAUUAAGUCACGUACAGCCGCUCCACGAGGCGUUGAGGACCCAACAUCCCACCAGCAGAGAACUUAGCAGCAGUGACUGUGGCCCAUUCAGGGCCUCUGGCUGGUUCCUGACUCCACUGCUGGCUCCUUCCAACAGUUUCUGCACGUUCUUGGUGAGGGAGGGAGCAAGCAGUCCGCCGUCGGCAGGGACCGCCCGUCGCCCACGUGGUCUUCUGCAGUUGCCUGGGGCUCGAAUGUUGCCAUCGCUGGCAGGCGUGGUGCUGAGGUGACGGGGCGCAGAGCUGUCGUAAAUCAGGGUGCACGGGCUCUGCUCUGGCCUGUUCCUCAGACCGACGAUCAACAGCUUCAUCUUGAAACAGAGCCAUGAGCCAUGACAAUGGAAACGCCCUCUGAGGAGGACCUGCCCAGAGUUUCAUAUUUUACUUGAUGAAUAAAAUCACACACCCUUUGCUAGAAAGCCUCUGGGUGCUUACACA
ensembl:lncRNA